rnacentral:rRNA from 1 species
GAUGAACGCUGGCGGCGUGCCUAAUACAUGCAAGUCGAGCGAACGGACGAGAAGCUUGCUUUUCUGAUGUUAGCGGCGGACGGGUGAGUAACACGUGGAUAACCUACCUAUAAGACUGGGAUAACUUCGGGAAACCGGAGUUAAUACCGGAUAAUAUUUUGAACCGCAUGGUUCAAAAGUGAAAGACGGUCUUGCUGUCACUUAUAGAUGGAUCCGCGCUGCAUUAGCUAGUUGGUAAGGUAACGGCUUACCAAGGCAACGAUGCAUAGCCGACCUGAGAGGGUGAUCGGCCGCAAUGGAGCUGAGACGAGGUCCAGACGCCUACGGGAGGCAGCAGUAGGGAAUCUUCCGCAAUGGGCGGAAGCCUGACGGAGCAGCGCCGCGUGAGUGAUGAAGGUCUUCGGAUCGUAAAACUCUGUUAUUAGGGAAGAACAUAUGUGUAAGUAACUGUGCACAUCUUGACGGUACCUGAUCAGGAAGCCACGGCUAACUACGUG